UGCAGCCAUGUCAAAUUCGGUCCCUGCCUGCUCCAUGGUGGGGGCCGGCCCUGCGGCUGCCACAUCAGACUUGUAGUCCAUGGGCCCGUGGUCCAUGUUGUUGGACCUGGGGAUAAAAAUAUGCUACAGACACGU